ACUUAGAUCAUGCCGUACACAUUCAACUGCCGUUCUACAUGAUGGGUGUGUGUUAAUUUUAGAGGGAUAUGGAGAGAAGACAGCAUGAGGAAACAGCAGAGGGCUCCAGAUCACACCAGUCAACAGUAACAGGAACCCUUGCACUAAAGAACUUCACCAUACCCAGGAAGAAACGCACCUCCGGAGAAGUACUUUUGGAAUGUUGUUCAGAAGAGAGCCGCGAUUACAGUCUCAUUCAAACAAAACUCAAAGACUUCAAGCUGGACACAAGAAAGGAUCAGGCAAAUGCAUGGGUUUGGAAAGAAAUCUGUUUAGUGCACAAUGAGGAGCUCCUUAAAAAGUUCUCUGAAAAAAGGGCAGAGAUGCGUGCUAAAGGAAGACAUGGGAGAGAAAUGGAGGAAAGAUUCUGCUUUUUAGCGGCAACAGAUCAAAUGACGACCCAGAUUUAUCAGCAUGGUCUGCCGGUUGGCAGCACAACACAGCAUGCCUUGGGAAAGCCAUCUUAUGGAGUAUAUCUGUUCAAGCACGUUGAUGUGGCAUUGAAAUCAGCCUGCACGAGUGCUAAAAAGCUGUUC
ensembl:processed_transcript